CCUUUUGGGAACUCACUGGCUCUGGAUUCCACAAGAACUCUAAAGUUAAGUGAGUUUGGGUGAGAGCAGUUCUAGGAUGGGUGACCUCUCUGGGAAGUUCUCGUGCUGAAACCCAAAAACAAAAUCGUGAGGGAAUGGUAAGCCUAGAGCGGACAAUAUCGUGCUACGGCGGAGCUGAGCUGGGAUGUGACAAUUUGGUAUCAAAGCCACUCUGCUGUUCGGUGCGGGUGUGCCGAGGAGGACAUCGAGCCUUUAAGGGGGUGGAUUGUGAGAUUCCACAUCACCUAGGGGAUAGGAUCCUAUAUGCCUUAUAUGUACAUGCUCACCUCCCAUUUGCAAGACACGUUUUGGGAACUCACUAGUUCUGGAUCCCAUACUAACUCAGAAGUUAAGUGACUUUGGGCGAGAGCAGUCCUAUGAUGGGUGACCCCCCGGGAAGUUCUCGUGCUGAAACCCAGAAACAAAAUCGGGGGGUCAUCCAUCCUAGGAUUGCUCUCGCCCAAACUCACUUAACUUCGAAGUUCUUAUGGGAUUCGGAGCCAGUGAAUUCCCAAAACGCGUCUUGCAAGAGCCACUCUGUCAUUCGGUGUGGGUGUGCCGAGGAGGACAUCGGGCCCCUAAGGGGGUGGAUUGUGAGAUCCCACAUCGUCUAGGGGAGAGGAUCCUCUAUGCCUUAUAUGUACAUGCUCACCUCCCAUUUGCAAGACGCGUUUUGGGAACUCACUGGCUUCGGAUCCCAUAAGAACUCCGAAGUUAAGUUAGUUUGGGCGAGAGCAAUCCUAGAAUAGGUGACCCUCCUGAGAAGUUCUCGUGCCGAAACCC
rnacentral:sRNA from 1 species